AAGUAUUAAGUUGCUAAUGUUCAUUGUAAACAAUGAAAUGAAAAUGAUGCAAGGGAAUGCUGUGUAAAUCAGCAACUGUACCCGCAGCCGUAAUCCCGCAAUUACCGCAAGGUAAUACAUGUUUUCAGUACAUAGCCACUGGUCCAAUUCUCUCGACUGGGAAGGCGCUGAAAAUCGGGAAAGUCGGAAGACCUAUCAUUUUUUGAUUGUUUCG
rnacentral:ncRNA from 1 species